AGUUCAACUUGGAACUGUCACUUGGAGUAGAACCUCCUGUGAGAGAGAGUUCUACUUGGAGAUCUACUGGCAGUUCGACUUGGAAUGGAGGCUGAUUAAAGAAUCUGCUGACUGGACUGGCACGAACCUCAGUUAUGGAUUUGAGACUUUGGGCCAUGGUUAGGUGCUGCUCCAUCAUACACUCUAACCUGAAAUGAUCAGGUCAAUUUCCUGGGCUCUUCCUCCUGUUUUCCAUCUAACAUGAUGUGUCAGGGGACUGGUAAAUGUCGGACUCCUCCUUUGAUGAUAACAGAUCCUGUGUCAGCUUGCUGGGUGAGUGACGGAGAUUCUUGCCUUGGCUUUUUGGAAGAGGCUGUGUUGGUAGAACCCUGGCUGAAGACACCACUGGGACUUCUGGCUGAGGAUUACCAGACUGGGGCAGAACUUGGCUUCUCAGGAGAAGGACUGAAUAUGACUAUCCAGUUUUGAAGAGUCCAGAGGAUUUUGGAAUUCCCAUUUGUCCAUUAUUAUCUCAAAUAUCUUCCUCAAAUCCAGUUACCAGCACUAUCUGAAUGAUGAACUCAACCAAGAUGGAUGAAGAUUCAUCGUGCUUACAAAUUCCAUGAAUAGGGGAAAAAUGACUUCCAGCCACCAGAAACUAUGAGUUGUCCCUUUGCCACUUGUGCUGAUUAAACUUAAGCCUACCCAACACUAGAUUCUGUAUGUACUUAAGAGCGUGUUGCAGACUUCUAGGGUUGUAUUUGUGUCAACUUCAUAAUGGGCCACUUUAGUAAGUAACUCUUUCUGAAAGCUGCUUAAGUUUGGUUGACUAAAUUGAUUCUCAUAUGAUAAUCUGAAUGUGGUGUGAAUGGGGUAGAAAACACUGAUAGAGUUUGAGUCAACAGUGUUAGAACAGAGAUUCUGGG
rnacentral:lncRNA from 1 species